AUUGAACGCUGGCGGAAUGCUUUACACAUGCAAGUCGAACGGCAGCACGGACUUCGGUCUGGUGGCGAGUGGCGAACGGGUGAGUAAUGUAUCGGAACGGGCCCAGUCGUGGGGGAUAACGUAGUGAAAAUUACGCUAAUACCGCAUACGAGCUAUGGAUGAAAGCGGGGGAUAGCAAGACCUGGGGCGAUUGGAGUGGCCGAUAUCAGAUUAGGGAGUUGGUGGGGUAAAGGCCCACCAAGCCAACGAUCUGUAGCUGGUCUGAGAGGACGACCAGCCACACUGGAACUGAGACACGGUCCAGACUCCUACGGGAGGCAGCAGUGGGGAAUUUUGGACAAUGGGCGAAAGCCUGAUCCAGCCAUUCCGCGUGCAGGAUGAAGGCCCUCGGGUUGUAAACUGCUUUUGUACAGAACGAAAAGGUUUCUACUAAUACUAGGAGCUCAUGACGGUACUGUAAGAAUAAGCACCGGCUAACUACGUGCCAGCCGCCGCGGUAA
rnacentral:rRNA from 1 species